rnacentral:rRNA from 1 species
UGCUAGUCAUCUCAGUAAUGCAGCUAACGCAUUAAGUGUACCGCCUGGGGAGUACGGUCGCAAGAUUAAAACUCAAAGGAAUAGACGGGGACCCGCACAAGCGGUGGAGCAUGUGGUUUAAUUCGAAGAUACGCGAAGAACCUUACCUGGGCUUGAUAUCCUAAGAACCUUAUAGAGAUAUGAGGGUGCUAGCUUGCUAGAACUUAGAGACAGGUGCUGCACGGCUGUCGUCAGCUCGUGUCGUGAGAUGUUGGGUUAAGUCCCGCAACGAGCGCAACCCACGUAUUUAGUUGCUAACGGUUCGGCCGAGCACUCUAAAUAGACUGCCUUCGUAAGGAGGAGGAAGGUGUGGACGACGUCAAGUCAUCAUGGCCCUUAUGCCCAGGGCGACACACGUGCUACAAUGGCAUAUACAAUGAGACGCAAUACCGCGAGGUGGAGCAAAUCUAUAAAAUAUGUCCCAGUUCGGAUUGUUCUCUGCAACUCGAGAGCAUGAAGCCGGAAUCGCUAGUAAUCGUAGAUCAGCCAUGCUACGGUGAAUACGUUCCCGGGUCUUGUACUCACCGCCCGUCACACCAUGGGAGUUGAUUUCACUCGAAGCCGGAAUACUAAACUAGUUACCGUCCACAGUGGAAUCAGCGACUGGGGUGAAGUCGUAACAAGGUAACCGUAGGAGAACCUGCGGUUGGAUCACCUCCUUUCUA